UCAGGGGAUAGUAUAUAUUAGUAUAUUUUGUUUACACCAAAAAAGAGAGGUUUUUUCUCCUCUGAU
rnacentral:tRNA from 1 species